rnacentral:rRNA from 1 species
GGUGAACGCUGGCGGCGUGCUUAACACAUGCAAGUCGAACGAGAACGGGUUAUAGCUUGCUAUAAUUGUCAGCUAAGUGGCGCACGGGUGAGUAAUGUAUAGGUAAUAUGCCUCUUACUAAGGGAUAACAAAUGGAAACGUUUGCUAAUACCUUAUACUCCUUAUUAACAUAAGUUAAUAAGGGUAAGAUUUAUUGGUAAGAGAUUAGCCUGUAUUGUAUCAGUUAGUUGGUGGGGUAAUGGCUUACCAAGACUAUGACACAUAACUGGUUUGAGAGGAUGAUCAGUCACACUGGAACUGAGACACGGUCCAGACCCCUACGGGAGGCAGCAGUGGGGAAUAUUGCACAAUGGACGAAAGUCUGAUGCAGCAACGCCGCGUGGAGGAUGACACAUUUCGGUGCGUAAACUCCUUUUAUAUGAGAAGAUAAUGACGGUAUUAUAUGAAUAAGCACCGGCUAACUCCGUGCCAGCCGCCGCCGUAA